rnacentral:rRNA from 1 species
UACGAAGGGGGCUAGCGUUGUUCGGAAUUACUGGGCGUAAAGCGCACGUAGGCGGAUACUUAAGUUAGGGGUGAAAUCCCAGAGCUCAACUCUGGAACUGCCUUUAAUACUGGGUAUCUCGAGUCCGGGAGAGGUGAGUGGAACUGCGAGUGUAGAGGUGAAAUUCGUAGAUAUUCGCAAGAACACCAGUGGCGAAGGCGGCUCACUGGCCCGGUAUUGACGCUAAGGCGCGAAAGCGUGGGGAGCGAACAGG